rnacentral:lncRNA from 1 species
GUUCAAAGGAUCUUGUUAUGUUUUUAAAAGGCUGAGCUUGGCAGAAAAAAUGUAGAGUGUAGGUUUGCUCCCUCCCCAUUUCCCCCCUUUACCAGGUUAGAAAUGGGUAACAGACUGGGAGAGAAGCACACAGUGGGUUCCAGUACCUGGAAGAUAGUUCAAGAGUAUGAAUUCCAAAUUAAGAGCAAGGGCCAAUUUAAGUGAUNNNNNNNNNNNNNAUCAAACUGGUGUUAAAUAUGUGACCCAGUUGCCCUCUCCCCACCCAUGGGUCCAACACACAGCCUCUCUCUGCAGGAGCCUUUGACUUUAUGCUGGAAUUGAGGACAAAAGCCACAGGCCAAGUGAGGUCACAGGAAUUCUAUACCCAGUGAUUCACCCACCUCACCCGUGAUGAUCAGUUCCAGCAAGAUUCCACAGAACUGCCAGGAACCCAUUGCUUUAAAGACCUGGGAUCACUCAAGAAUCCCAAGGGGUACAGAACAGACUCUUGACCCUCCAAUGAGGAGAUAUAUGUGGAAUGUUCCAGAAAACAUCUUGGGUGAAAGAAGGGAAAGCACUCAUACACAGAUGAUGACCAGAUGGACACAUCCUUCAAAGUCUUUCUAUCUUGGGGAUACUUUUCCUGGAUCUCAUUGAUUGUCACUUAAUUACGUAUUGUAAUAGCACUGUGACCUGCAGCAAGUCAUACUGGAGAGCAGUUUCCUCAUCUGCAAAGCUUCUUACAUCAUUUUUAAGAUCCACGUUAGUAUAAAUUAUUUUAAAACCAGAUAUAGGCAAUUUUCAAACCUCAUUUUAAACACCAGUUGNNNNNNNNNNNNNNNNNNNNNNNNNNNNNNNNNNNNNNNNNNNNNNNNNNNNNNNNNNNNNNNNNNNNNNNNNNNNNNNNNNNNNNNNNNNNNNNNNNNAACCUCUUCCAUUCAUUCCCCACCCCCUUAUUUAAAAAAGAGCUAUUAAAAAGUGAAAUAUUUUAUUGAUUGCUUUUGACCCCUUUUCUUAAAAAAAAAAUCUUUUCCACUUUCUGAAGGAAACAUAAUCAAUAUUGAAACAGUAGAAAGUUGGGUGACUGGGGUCACAAGAUAAGUUAACUAGUGAGCUUUGAAGCAUCAGUGCAUUAGGAACAAAGCCAGACAGAGACAUCCCAACCUUAGCGGGAUGCCUCGUAAUUCAGCGUUUCUCCAAAAUGAUUUUCUGUACAUAUCUGUUCAACACAGUGUGGAGGGGUGGGAAGAGAGGGAGAGGAAAACUAAUAACAGCCUUAGGCACCUCCUCUGUUCUCUGAACAAUUCUGCUCAGUCCCAAAUCUGCAUAACUCGCUCAGAUAAACAAAUGUAGGUAGCCAACCAGACCUUCCCUCUUUUGAAGACAUACCAUGCAACUAUUAUGAAACCGCAACUCCUUCAAAUAACAUUUCUUUUAAAUAUUCCAACUUCACAACACUUAUGAUAAAUCCAACUUUCUCUAUCUUGUUAUAUUUCCAGAAAGAUGUAGCACCCCAGCAAUGUUCUAGUGCCCUUAGGAAGCAAUGCUUCUAGAAAUCACACUCUGACCCACCUCCGAAGCCGGUUUUGAUUAGCAGGGAAGUUUUCAACAAAUGUCUUUCUACUCAUGGGUCAGAAAGCUCCAGAACUCUAUCUGUGACAGCAUCUUUCUCCCGGCAUGGCCUUGUGAUCCUCUUUGAAAGUCUGCUCACUCCCAGAACAACCUAGAAGACGCAUGAUUUCCUAAGCUGACCUCCACAUCCAAAGUCCAGAGCAAGGCGGGUGGUUUCCAUGGGCAAAAUGUUCUUUUCCCUCUUUUUCCUUCUCAAUUUCAUCUACCUAACCUUGCCAUCUUAAUGUGGACUUUAAGAACCCUUAAUAUCUGCAGUGCCUUGAGUCUUCAUAGAAAUAUUAAAUCAUGCAGUUACUUUAGAAAAAAGUAGUGUCUUACUGGAUUCUAAUUCUUUGAAAAUCAGUAACAAAAGGAUGAUCUAUUCAGGAAUCCUUUGUUAACCAAAAUGUUGAACUAACUACAACCUUACUUAGGCUAGACAGGAGUCUAAUAUGGCAAUAAUGUGCUUCAUUAUGGAGUGUCUUCACGUAGAAAGAUGGUCCUUGUCAUUAAGAUGUGCUUCCCAUUCACUCCUAAUAACACACAUGAGGUUUAACCACUGAGCAUCCGGCUAGACACACCAGUGGGAUGGCCGGCCAGGUCACAGCUGGCUGUGGUCACUAUCUGUGAAAUGGAUCAAAGAAGAGCAAAC